rnacentral:rRNA from 1 species
AAUGAACGCUGGCGGCGUGCCUAACACAUGCAAGUCGAACGGAGCAGAGACUUCGGUUUUUGCUUAGUGGCGAACGGGUGAGUAACGCGUGAGAAACCUGCCUUUCAGUGGGGGACAACAGUUGGAAACGACUGCUAAUACCGCAUAAUGUAUCGAGAGGGCAUCCUCUUGAUACCAAAGCUUUAUGUGCUGAAAGAUGGUCUCGCGUCUGAUUAGCUAGUUGGUGAGGUAACGGCUCACCAAGGCGACGAUCAGUAGCCGGUCUGAGAGGAUGAACGGCCACAUUGGGACUGAGAUACGGCCCAGACUCCUACGGGAGGCAGCAGUGGGGAAUAUUGGGCAAUGGGGGAAACCCUGACCCAACAACGCCGCGUGAGGGAAGAAGGCCUUCGGGUUGUAAACUUCUUUUACCAGGGACGAAGAACGUGACGGUACCUGGAGAAAAAGCCACGGCUAACUACGUGCCAGCAGCCGCAGUAAUAC